rnacentral:lncRNA from 1 species
CGGGCCGUAAGGGCAUUUAGUCCUGGCUACGGAACUGGGGCUAAGGUUUUGAGAUUAAAUGUCCCACCUUUAGUCCCAGUUCCGCGAGCCGGGACUAAAGGUCAGUCUCGGUUGUUAAUAGGAACCAGGACUAAAAGGUACACCACGGUGUGCCACCUGGCCUCCACUAACUAAAGAGUUUUUUCUUUUUUCGUUUUCUUUCCUUUUGGUUUUCCAUUUAGGGUUUACAAUUAUGUUAUUAUUAUUUUCGAAUGUGCAUUGUUUGCUGCUAGUUUAUGAAAACGCGCACCUAUAAUUUAUAUAAUUUAAAGCAUUACAUAUAAAUAUACGAUAAAACACUAUAUAUAUUAUAUAUGUAUCCAUAGGUCCAUAAUAUAAUAUUUACACAUAUGCAUCACGGAUAAAGUAUUUACAACAAAAAUUAUCUCGGCCACUCAAGCAUCAUACAAAUGAUCAUCGUGAUUUGGUUUCAUUGGCUCCUUAGGGUUGAAGUAGCACUCGCCGCCGGGAUUCAGGACUUGGUCGUUAAGAAAUCCUGCGAUUGUCUCUUGAAUUGCUUUUAGGCGCACCGCAUCCAACACCUGCUCCUUCAAUCACAUCUCCUUUAAUAGACAUUAAAGAAAAAAGUUAGAGGUAUGAAUAAGAUUUAUUAAAUAGCAACAAAUAAAUGAAAUAAAUUUAUUAUAUAUACAUGUUACAUGUUACAUACUUUUAGGUGCU